UUUCCCAAGAAAAGCUCAGCUCUCUCAGUUUUCUGCCCGUCUUAUUGCCGCUCUCAUUGUCUUUGUCGACAGUGAUAAAGAGAGCAGUUCAACCACGGGCCUGUUUUUGGAAUAAGAAAAGCAUUGCUGUUUUCUGACUUUGAGAGAAGAAAGAAGGGACUCCUCUGGAAUUUCCUAAGGAAUUUAAUCGGACUGCUCCGUUACCGGGGCUUUGCAUUCUACCGCCUGGGUACAUA